rnacentral:rRNA from 1 species
GUCGAGAAUCUUUCACAAUGGGGGCAACCCUGAUGGAGCGACGCCGCGUGGAGGAUAAGGUCUUCGGAUUGUAAACUCCUGUCAUGCGUGAACAAGGUUGCUUGGUUAAUACCUGGGCAAAUUGAUGGUAACGCAAGAGGAAGAGACGGCUAACUCUGUGCCAGCAGCCGCGGUAAUACAGAGGUCUCAAGCGUUGUUCGGAAUCACUGGGCGUAAAGGGUGCGUAGGUGGCGUGGUAAGUCAGAUGUGAAAGCCCGGGGCUCAACCUCGGAACUGCAUCCGAUACUGCCAUGCUAGAGUACUGGAGGGGUGACUAGAAUUCUCGGUGUAGCAGUGAAAUGCGUAGAUAUCGAGAGGAAUACCAAAGGCGUAGGCAGGUCACUGGACAGUUACUGACACUGAGGCACGAAGGCCAGGGGAGCGAACGGGAUUAGAUACCCUAGUAGUCC